rnacentral:rRNA from 1 species
AGUGAACGCUGGCGGUAGGCCUAACACAUGCAAGUCGAACGGCAGCACAGUAAGAGCUUGCUCUUACGGGUGGCGAGUGGCGGACGGGUGAGGAAUACAUCGGAAUCUACUUUUUCGUGGGGGAUAACGUAGGGAAACUUACGCUAAUACCGCAUACGACCUACGGGUGAAAGCAGGGGAUCUUCGGACCUUGCGCGAUUGAAUGAGCCGAUGUCGGAUUAGCUAGUUGGCGGGGUAAAGGCCCACCAAGGCGACGAUCCGUAGCUGGUCUGAGAGGAUGAUCAGCCACACUGGAACUGAGACACGGUCCAGACUCCUACGGGAGGCAGCAGUGGGGAAUAUUGGGCAAUGGGCGCAAGCCUGAUCCAGCCAUACCGCGUGGGUGAAGAAGGCCUUCGGGUUGUAAAGCCCUUUUGUUGGGGAAGAAAAGCAGCAGGUUAAUACCCCGCUGUUCUGACGGUACCCAAAGAAUAAGCACCGGCUAACUUCGUG